AUCCCGUGUCAAUCCUAAUCCCAGAUUAAAUUCAAUCCCUAAUCCCAAUCCUUAAUCCCAAAAUUUUAAAAAUUAAUCCUUAAUCCCCAAUCUCAAUCCCAAGAUUUUAAAUUUAAUCCUCAAUCUCAAUCCUUAAUCCCAACAUCCUUAAUCCGCCAGUCUCUGAUAUUGAUUGCCAAACAUUGCGAAUUUUAAACUUAAUUCACACAAGCUCUCUUAAUUAAGAAAAAGCUGUUAAAUAGUUGCACUCCGUCGCUUCACCUAAGCAUCUCGUUGUUUCGGGUUUAAUUUUCAGAAUUGGAAUACAGAUCAACUUUUGUUAUCAAUAUUUUUCCACGUUUUCCUUAAAUUCAAGUUUUAAACCGAUUGUGCUGUCCAUUUUAACCACCGCCCUGUCACAUAUUUGAUAUUUGACGUCCUCAUACAUAUAUAAAACGGCCGCCUCGUCAUAAUUAUUGGAUCAGUUCAUAUUUACAAAUCAAACUUCAAUCAUAUUCUAAUUAAUUCCUACUUUCAAAUUGCAAUAUGCCAAAGGGAGUAUUUUUAUAUCUCCCGAUCGUACUUUCCCUUCUUUAUAUCGUUAACUGGUCAUUCUGCCAAACUACAUCUGGGCCAACAAUUACCACUGAAUCCCCUCCAAUUGUGAUUGGGGGAGUAUACCAGAUCGUUAGUGCAUUAGCUCCACAGGUAAUAAUCACUUAUUCAUAAACAUGAAAAUAACACAUUUUUCCAUAUAAUUAACUCGCAUUCACGUAUCACAAUAGGCGCUGGAAGUUUAUUUGUCCGACCUCACACUUCGUAACAAAAUUCACGCUAACAACGUUUCUUACAAUCCUCCCUGCUCAAACUUGGCACAGCUUUGGAGUGCGGAACAAAAUGCUACAGAUACCAACUAUCUUUUCCGAUCGGGUUUGGGAACUGGCUCGAUGUGGUGGCAACACAUACUGCAUUUAUGCGGCGGCGGCUUAGACGAACCAGAUUUUUUCCCCUGUAUAUUCUAUCCCAUAAACAUGUCACCCUAUUAGAAAUUAAGCCGAAUUGUGGGCACAAAGUAUUGGACAAUAACGAACACUUAUGAUACUCCGAAUACUACAAUUACCUACAUGGGUUCUUCCAAUGGAAUUGGGAUUGAUGUGAUUGGCACCUCGAUGAAUCCGCAGAACCCAAGACAAUGGUGGGAAUUCAUUCGAUGUUAAUUAAAAAGCUACAUAUGUAUAUGUAUUUAUUUAAGUAACCCCACAAAAAUAUAUAUUCGGACCCGAGAAAUUUAUAUGCUACAUAUACAUAUUUUUUUAAAUCUGUAACAAAUUCACAAGGAUCCGAUCCUUCUGUAUGUGACGGACUUGCAUUAUAUUUUUAAUGUUAUAACAACAACAUAAUAAAAACCCUGCAGUCAAUAGCGUUUAUAUACUUAGAUCUAUUAAAAAUUGCAAAAUAUCUAGAGGAGGAAUGUAGUUGGUGGCGGUUACUUGACCAAGUGUAUCAUAUUUAUAGAAAGUCAUGGCAUGCAAAUACGUAUGUUUAAUUUAUGAUUUUUUACGCCCUCGUUCAUCAGAAUAGCGCAAGUUGAGAUUUUGUAGUGCAAUUCUUUAUGUACA